UCUGGGAUUAGAUACCCUGUUAUUUAAAAUGUAAUUAAAAAAAAUAGAAUAGUAUUAGUUAUGUGCUUGAAAUUUAAAAAAUUUGGCGGUAUUUUAAUUUAUUCAGAGGAACUUGUUUUAUAAUUGAUAAUCCUCAUUAUAUCUUACUUAAUAUUAUUAAAUUUGUAUACCGUCGUCAUAAGAAUUUCUUAAAAGAGUAAUAAUUUUCUAAAAUUUUAAUUUUAAAUUAUGUCAGAUCAAGGUGCAGUUUAUGAUUAAGAAAAAAUGAGUUACAAUAAAUUUAUUUAAACAGUAUUAAAAAUUAAAUUUUUUAAUUAAGGUGGAUUUGAAAGUAAAAUAAACAAUACAAUUUAUUUGACUUAAACUCUAAAAUAUGUACAAAUCGCCCGUCACUCUCUGA
rnacentral:rRNA from 1 species